AUUGAACGCUGGCGGCAGGCCUAACACAUGUAAGUCGAGCGGAUGAAGGGAGCUUGCUCCUGGAUUCAGCGGCGGACGGGUGAGUAAUGCCUAGGAAUCUGCCUGGUAGUGGGGGAUAACGUCCGGAAACGGGCGCUAAUACCGCAUACGUCCUGAGGGAGAAAGUGGGGGAUCUUCGGACCUCACGCUAUCAGAUGAGCCUAGGUCGGAUUAGCUAGUUGGUGGGGUAAAGGCCUACCAAGGCGACGAUCCGUAACUGGUCUGAGAGGAUGAUCAGUCACACUGGAACUGAGACACGGUCCAAACUCCUACGGGAGGCAGCAGUGGGGAAUAUUGGACAAUGGGCGAAAGCCUGAUCCAGCCAUGCCGCGUGUGUGAAGAAGGUCUUCGGAUUGUAAAGCACUUUAAGUUGGGAGGAAGGGCAGUAAGUUAAUACCUUGCUGUUUUGACGUUACCAACAGAAUAAGCACCGGCUAACUUCGUG
rnacentral:rRNA from 1 species